rnacentral:rRNA from 1 species
GCCCAGACUCCUACGGGAGGCUGCAGUCGAGAAUCAUUCGCAAUGGGCGAAAGCCUGACGAUGCGACGCCGUGUGAGCGAUGAAGGCCUUAGGGUCGUAAAGCUCUUUCGCCUGGGAGCAAGAGAAGCCGACUAAUA